rnacentral:rRNA from 1 species
AUUUAUUGGGCGUAAAGCGAGCGCAGGCGGUUCUUUAAGUCUGAUGUGAAAGCCCCUGGCUUAACCAGGGAGGGUCAUUGGAAACUGGAGAACUUGAGUGCAGAAGAGGAAAGCGGAAUUCCAUGUGUAGCGGUGAAAUGCGUAGAUAUAUGGAGGAACACCAGUGGCGAAGGCGACUUUCUGGUCUGUAACUGACGCUGAGGCUCGAAAGCAUGGGGAGCGAACAGGAUUAGAUACCCUGGUAGUCCAUGCCGUAAACGAUGAGUGCUAAGUGUUGGAGGGUUUCCGCCCUUCAGUGCUGCAGUUAACGCAUUAAGCACUCCGCCUGGGGAGUACGACCGCAAGGUUGAAACUCAAAGGAAUUGACGGGGGCCCGCACAAGCGGUGGAGCAUGUGGUUUAAUUCGAAGCAACGCGAAGAACCUUACCAGGUCUUGACAUCCUUUGACCACUCUAGAGAUAGAGCUUUCCCUUCGGGGACAAAGUGACAGGUGGUGCAUGGUUGUCGUCAGCUCGUGUCGUGAGAUGUUGGGUUAAGUCCCGCAACGAGCGCAACCCUUAUUAUUAGUUGCCAGCAUUCAGUUGGGCACUCUAGUGAGACUGCCGGUGAUAAACCGGAGGAAGGUGGGGAUGACGUCAAAUCAUCAUGCCCCUUAUGACCUGGGCUACACACGUGCUACAAUGGAUGGUACAACGAGUCGCUAAACCGUGAGGUCAAGCUAAUCUCUGAAAGCCAUUCUCAGUUCGGAUCGCAGGCUGCAAUUCGCCUGCGUGAAGCCGGAAUCGCUAGUAAU